GUUGUUACAAUAACUCGAUAUCUUCCAUCAAAUGUUUUCCUUAUUAGUUAUUAGUUUAUCUACUUGGAGUCUUCAACAUGUAUACAGAAAUCUAGAUUCUACAUCACCAUCCUCAAGCUAAUGAUGUAAAUCAAUGGACAAGUCAGUUAUAUUUCAAAAGUCUAGCUGGGUAUUUGGAUUUUCCUCGUUCACUUCUUUUUAUUCUAGUUGACUGGCCGCUUGCCUGGCAUUUAGGCUAGCGCCCAACAUGGGGAACUCAAUUCCGUUCAUUUUGUUUUGAAAUGAACUAAUCCAUGUAGGCAAUUAUGGGAAAUUGCAUGAGUAGUGGUUGUUUUCAUGUAAGCUCACCUUCAUAAGACCAAGUUUCGAAGGUUUGGGUGAAAGAACAUUGUAUCACAUGAAGAAUAUGAAAAAACACUGCACACACAUGGACAUUUUUCAUGUGUUUGUGCUCGCUCCUUGAUGAAAAAACACUACACCAAUUCAAAUCUCAGUGAAGCACUCCAUUCUCUUAUUGAAAACAACUAAAUUAGUGCUGAACAACAUUUCAAAAGAAUAAUAUGAAUACAAAACAUAUAAAACUAUGCCCCCAGAAGCAGAACAUUAAUCACUGUCUACGAUUAAAAUCAUUAUCUUGUGUACGAUUGUAAUCAUAACCACUUGUAGAAUAAUCUGUAGUUUAUCAAAAUCAAGUUGUUCAUAAUGCUAUUAUGUGUUGCCCGAUUAAAAAAAGGCCAUUACAUGUCAGCUGCUUGUGGUUGCUCGUGAAAUAUUUUCUACACUGGUAUACUCAUUCUCACUGUGUCUCCAACCAGAAAUCAGGGCUUUUGCAGGGUGUUUCUCUUUUUUUUUCCAAAAAAGAUAUUUCGUGGUGGUUUUAGACUACAGGGAAAACAGUGAUAGUUGGAGGGUAAAUGCUUUCCUCAACUUUUGCCCAUUUACGCGUAACAUAUAUUAUAAUUACUUGUUUUGCCCAAAGGAAAAUGCUUUGUCAAGGGAACAUGAGUAAAUAAGCAGGCUAAAUGUCUAUGUCCAUGUCCUUUUGUAAGUAAUACUUGGGCCAAAAUCACUAUUUAAUCAAGGUAUGAAAAGCCUGUUCAUGACACUCUCUCUUUAUGUAUAGCAAGGUUUCUUGACUACACUUGCAUUGUGAUUAUUGGUGCCAUUUCUUGGUCUUACAAUGUAUACUUUAACUCUAGGCCUCCCAUUGCUUGGGCUCAGUUCAUCUCCCUUCUGAAUAAAUAAAUUGGCUGAAACACUGGCAUAUUUCUUGCCCCUAAGGAUGGAGAAUCAGCUUGAAGAGAAACUAAUGGCAUGUUGAUAGAAGAGAAUGCCAUGUAGAAAGGGAAGGGGGUCAAGCUUAGUCCUUGGAAAUGAUGUAUUUCAAGUAUGUGAUAUUGACAAGGGAGAAACUCUUUGUGGAAGACACAUUAGAAUAGAAUACUUCAGGGAGACAGCUUGAUAAUUCAAUGCUGGAUACAAGCCACAGGAGGGAUUCUAGAAGCACCUGCCUGGUUAAACUACAAAAGGGAUUCUAAAGUAACCGCUUAACUAGUCAUUUCAAAUGAAUGCACACAUGCUUGGGAUGUUUCUCCAUGCUCGUGCAUUACUCCCAUUAUGCAGGAAGAGAUACCUUGUCAAGCUUUGUCAUUUGAAUGGAAAUGAACUUGAAAUAUGUUUAUUUGUGAGGGAGAGAAAGAUAGCGUUUGUCCUAAAAUUGAAAGCCAUAUUAGGCGCAAGACUGAGCAAUGUGGUGGCAGGUUGACUUGAGUACAAACUCAGAGAUAGAUUGGAGCAAGAAUGAGGUUUUCAUUUGGCAAUGGAGUAAGUGUAUUCUGAUGGCGGAAAUUGCUUACUUCUACAAUUUGUCUCCGGUAUUUAUAGAUGUAUGUGCAGCUAUGAUGGCAUACCAAUGAGUCGAGGAGACCCUAUUUAUGCCGGCUAUUGAAAGAAGCACAAGUGGGAAUUG